GCCAGCAGCCAUAUCACCCUGCAACUCAGCAGGUGUGAGCCUGGUCAGUACCUGGAUGGGAACGUCCUGGGAAAAACUAAGGUUGCUGCUGGAA
rnacentral:rRNA from 1 species